AGGAUGUUGGCUUGGAAGCAGCCAUUCAUUUAAAGAGUGCGUAACAGCUCACUAGUCGAGCGGUCGAGCAUGGAUAAUAAUCGGGCAUAAACAUAUUACCGAAGCUAUGGACUUGUAAAAGUGGUAGGGGAGCAUUGUAACCUGCGUAGAAGGUGUGUUGUGAGGCAUGCUGGAGUGGUUACAAAAGAAAAUGUAGGCAUAAGUAACGAUAAUGCCGGUAAGAAACCGGCACACCGAUAGACUAAGGUUUCCCCGGCAAUGCUAAUCAGCCGGGGGUUAGUCAGGACCUAAGGCGAACCCGAAGGGGGUAGUCGAUGGCCAACGGGUUAAUAUUCCCGUACCACCUUUAUUUUCGAUGGGGUGACGGAGUAGUGAAAGUACCGCGUACUGACGGAAUAGUACGUUGAAGCAUGUAGGUAUAGGACUGGCAGGUAAAUCCACCAGUCUUGCUGAAUGUGAUAGUACCACAAUGCUACGGCAGCGUGGAUAGUGUACCUAAUCAGACUUCCAAGAAAAACCUCUAAGGCUAGGAUAAAGGUGCCUGUACCGUAAACCGACACAGGUAGUCAAGGAGAGAAUCCUGAGGUGCUCGAGUGAAUCAUGGCUAAGGAACUAGGCAAAAUUGCCCUGUAACUUCGGGAGAAGGGGCCCCC
rnacentral:rRNA from 18 species